rnacentral:lncRNA from 9 species
UUUAGGAUCAACAGCAAUACAUUUACUAAUCUUUGUUCAUGUUGUCGAAUUAUUUUCCAGGGAGUUUACACCAGUUUAUCCCACCAGCUGAGCAUGAGAGACCCUUCUCACUACUUUGCUGGCAGUGCUGUUAACUUAGGAGAAGGACAAUUAACUACGCAGUCAAGGUUUUCGCUCUGAUUUAGUUGAUUGAAGUGAUGCUCACUUGUGAUUUCCUACUCUGGAUCAGAAGAGAAUUAAGAAAGCAGUGCAUUUUACUUUUCAGGUGGCAGAAAUUUCUGGUGAAAUUCAGGUGAAAGGAUGUGUCAUCAAUCAGAAUGAUCCUGGUGAAGGUAAUAUGAAAUUACUACUUUGGAAUAAUCUGGGAAUGUGACUAGUUUUAUUUCUCUCUACAGUAAUUAAUUUCCCAGUGACUAUAAAGACGUAAGUUUGUUUUGGCAGCUUUAAUUCUUGGCUCUCAUAUGGCAGUGCCUCAGAAAUGCACAGCGAUUGUCAGCAAUAGAUAGAGAUGUUUCACUGUAAAAACAUCCAUAUGUCCUGAGAUAAAAUGCUAAUUCAAAACAAACUAACUGGAGACAAAAAUACAUAAAGUGACCAGUGCCUGCCCCAGACCACUCUGUACUUUAAGAAUUCAGUGCAGCCUGUAUUUCAAAGUAGCUGUGGUGCGAACAGGCACGUAGACCUGAAAGUGAACCUGAAAAUAGUGCAUUUUCCGUUUAUUCUCUACAGAUGUUUCCAAUUGAUAAAGAGAAUGAGCUUUAUUUUUUGUAAAUGUUAGCCAACAUGGAUAAUAU